AACUUGACUUUCUAUGAGGGCAGAAGGCGUAACAUGAAAAAGAGAAUGAAGAAAAAUGACCUCAAAAGAUGUCAAGUUUGGAAAUAAUUACUUCAUAAAUACACUGGGGUGG
rnacentral:lncRNA from 1 species